rnacentral:lncRNA from 1 species
CAGCCUCACCGUCUCCGACACUAUCCUCGAUAUCCGGAUCGCCGAUCUGUCCCCCUUCGCGUGCUUGUACGCGAACCUCGACGUGUCGCCGGAGAUCUUGAUCGGCGGCAACAUCCAAUCGUCGCCGCCGCCGUCCGGAGGCGGCGGAGGCUUGUCGAUCCAGACGAAUCCCCGCGGCGGUGGAGGCUUGUCGAUCCAGACAAAGCCGCGCAUCUGGUAGGGGAGAUACCAUAGCUUGAUGUACUCCUUGCGGCGAUCCCACAGGCCGGCGGAGGCGGCGAUUCCGAAGACAAUGUGGCGGAGGGACGUUUUGAGCUUCGGCGGCGGUGGAGGAGGAGUGAGAGUGACGGAAGUGCGAUUCUCGACGGGAAUUUGAUGAUGGGAGGUUGUAGCGAGGGAAUCCGAUGAGGAUCGGAGAUUGCAGUAAGGGGAUUGGAGGUAAUAGAUUAGAUAAGGGAGGGAAAUUAAGAGGAAGAGGGAAGAGAUUGUCAAUUUGGAGAGGGAGCAAGUUAUGACGGUGGAUCUCAACCACAACGGAUUUUCCUCGUCCGCCGCUUUGGUAUUUUGCUUCAUAUUCUGUUUCAUAACGGCGGCGGCGGAGGAGGACGAGCAGCUGGAAGUGGUGGAGUUUAGGAUUAGGAUGUAUAAAAACAAAUAACGAAGAAUUAAGGUUGUCCUUUUUUUCUAGAAAUUGGGACAAAAGUGAGAAUCAGAGUUUGUGUAGAGAGUAGAAAGAAGAAGAGUGUGGGAAGAAUUUAAGCCGUCUGUUUUGUUCUUGUCGAGAAAUUCCAUCUCCUCCUGCUGUAAUUUUUUCUAUCAACAAAAAUCCCACAAUUGCCUAAACAGUCUUUUGUAACAACCAAAACUAUGCAUUGAAUGUGGUUAACUCGAGUUGACCCAACUCAGUCCACUCUCAUUUUGAAUCGACUGAAGACGUCGAACAACUAGUUUGAUUUCACAAUCUUAAAUACAUGCAGUGAAAAUAAAAUAUGAUCCAAUGAAUUUGUAAUCCUACCAACCUAUAGAGGAGAAAAUAACGAAUGAAUAAAAAAGGAUAAACUUUAACGAAUAUAUUUGAAAUUUCUAAUAUACACCUAACAUAUUGCUUGUUUCGUAAUAUUUGUUGUUAUUUUGGAAGAUUUAUAGCAUAAUUAUAAGAACUUAAUUCCAUUGUGUCUGUACAUAUAUGUAUAUAUGAUUAUAUAUUGGUGACCUUGAAUGUGUUUCCGUGUAAAUGCAAUCAAUUGCUAUAUCUAAACUUGGUAAUUUCAUUUAAUUAUAUACAAGAUUCAUUUUCUUAUGAAAAUUUAUAAAGAUAAUUUAUCAUUCCAAAUGUAUUUAGACAAUUUAUCAACUAUCAAAAUAUCUUGAUGGGUAGUUCGAGGUUAGUUUUUCGUAUUCUAAUCAUACUCUAAAAUUCAUUAAAAAUAUUAGGAUAAAGUACAUAUCAAUGCAAUGAAUCAUUAAUAAUUACAUAAGUAAACAUAUUAGAUAAAGAAAUCAUUCAUCUGUAUAUAAUCCUAACAUGAUAUCAAAUGAUAAACAACAAGUAAUAAUCAUAUAAUAUUUAUCAUUAAGAAAUCAUCAAUAGCUAAUCAUCAUCUAACAAUUAUAAUCAAGUAAUCAUCAUCUAAUAAUCAUCAUCAAAUAACCAUCAUCUAAUAAUCCAUCAUGCAAUAUUACAGUUAAAGUCAAUCAUGUUAGGUGCUUUAUGAAUCAUAAUAUCAUAAUUCUUAUAACUUGUCAUAUCGUAAACAUCAUUCUUGAGGAAGUCAAUUUACAUGACUCUGAUUCUUGUACUAUCAUUGACCUUAUCUGAGAUACAUUAUUUCUUGUGGGGCGUCUCCCAACCCAACUAACUAACCGACCGCUCUAGCGGUAAAAUUAUAGAGGUCUAGGAGUACGUAUCCAUCAGACGAUAUCAUAAAUCAUAAAGGGCAAACUAUGGCCAUAAGUCAUGGGGCAAAACUCAGCCCGCAAAUCAUAGUGGCAAAACUAUGGCCCGAAUCAUAAGGGGCGGCAAUCUAACUAGUGAGUUUCAUAUUUUAAAUCCACAUAUUACACUCUAAAUGAGGUGUUUUUGUUUCCUAUCACUAUAGGACGGUGAUCUAGCUAGUCAUGUUUAAUCUUAUCAUCAUCUAACAUUAAUGUUAGUCUAACCUUAUAGUUAUAUAGGAGGCAUAACUUCCACAACAUCAAAGUAAUAACAUGUCACAAAUAAACACUCAACCAUGAAAUCAUGACAUAAAUUAAAUGCAUCAAAUUAACUAACUUAAUCUAAUCUACAUGAAAGACAAGAUAUUAUCCCCUUAAACUAACCAACUUAAUUGACGAGCCGACAUCUAAAAAUUAUAUUCGAGAUGAUUCUUCUUGUACCACGAAUCCACAGCUUCUGACGGCACAUCAUUUGGAGAUCAAACGAUUGAAUUAUACUCCAAUUACUCGUUUGGCAAAAUGCUGAAACUGACAAAGGCAGAAUCGACUUCCGAAUGCCCAGCUGGGCAAAUCUCAGAAUCAGCCCACACAUUUCAGACUACUGCAGAACAGACCCUAAUUAAUCAACUAGUUGCAGGUCAGUAACCUAACUUCCAGAAAGUAUAAACUAGUUCCCGAACUUAUAAAAAUUCCACAUAGAUUACUUAACUUUCAGAAGUUUGCAGAACCAUCACCGAGCUCUCUGUAACUGCUGGGUGGCCACCCUUCUUCUCUGGCGAGCUCUUUACCGCCGACGAGCCGUGCCGAGAUUCCGGCGACGCCUCAAAAAAUCGUGGAAUCCUUGCUUCUUGUCGCUGAUCGUCCCGUUCCUCCUCACCGUCGAUGUGGUGGCCUCAAUCCUCCGAUCCGAGGUCUGCUCCUGACUUCCAGCGAGUUUACCCCAUCCGGCAGAUCCGGUGGAAGCCUCCUCUGAUGCUCGUCGCCGCCGAUGGUAUUCUUCAUAGAUCUCCAGCCUCCGCUGAGACUUUCCGACGCACCAACAGCUGCUGCAGCCGUGCGCCAAUUCCAUCUCUCACGAUCUGCAUCAUCGACCUCUAUCGAUCGUCAAUGCCGCAGCGUCCACUUCCCUUUCUCUAGAAGAGUCGCCGUCGCCGUCAUCCCCCCCCCUCCCCCCUCUUUUCUCACUGUUACUCCCGUGAUUAGGUUUAGGGGUGGGGUUAAAUAAUUAACGGCCCACUCACUUGAAUCCGUCCAAUGGCCCAUGGCCCAUCACUUCACCACCACUUCAAUUGGGUUUUAAGGCCCACAAUCGAAAUCCAAUAUUAAACAAACAGCAACCCAACCCCUUUCCUUGAAGGAAUCAAGCCUCCCAUCUCUCCGUAGGAUUGAUCUAACGGUCAGGCUCCCAACUAAUAAACUAAAGGCUUGACUCCAUCUCCGAUUAUCUAACCAACCCGAUAAUUAGAUCGAACCUCGACGAUCCCUUGAACUCGAUAAUUAAAAACUCUUGGACACUAUUUCUUUAAGCAUUUGCGGUCCAAAAAGUCGAAUUCAUAAACUUGAUUGUGCAGAAGAAAACCAACCCGUGAAAGUGGGUCGGCCUCAGUGGGAUUGGUGUUGUCACACUCACACACACGAUCCAUAAAGAGAACAAAACAUAUCACCAAAGUUCACGAGAUCAUCCAUGAUCCAAUCCAUAUGUGUUGAGUAAUCCAUAAGAAGGAUCGUAAAAACUUGCCACAAAUAUAAUAUUUACAUUCCAGAUCGGUAAGAAUUGGUUUGCGUUGGAAGAAGCCAAAUGACUUAGAAUGGAGUAACAAAUUGAAGGAGGGGAUGGGUUGUGUGUGUUUUGAGUUUGGUGUGAAACCUCAAACCUAGGCAACAACCUGAAGCAUUAAAUAAUAAUUCAGUAUGUUGGUGUUGCUUCUACACAAUAUACUACUACUUCAUUAAUUUCUACCGUUGAAGAAUGAACAGAAAAGGUUCUCAUAGAUCUCUCCUCCAACAAAAACUAAUUUGUGGUUGAAAAUUUUGCAACAGAAUUUGUGAAUUUUGAAGCAAAUUUGAUUAUACAAUUCAUUGUCGCAUAUUUUAAGAGAACAAGGGAGUUUCUUCAAUUCUUCUUCUAGCCGUAGCAGUAAUGGCGGCGGGGUUAGCCGGAUCAGCGGAGAGCAGGAAUGCAAAAAGGGUAGUUGACUCCUUCGAGUACACUGCAAUGAGCUGCAGAGCUCACACAGCUUCCAUUACAGAGUAUGGAACAGUUGGGGAUGGAAAUACAUCAAACACCAAGGCAUUUAAAGACGCCAUUGAUUAUUUGGGUCAGUUUUCCCAAGGUGGUGGGUCCCAGCUCUAUGUCCCCGCCGGGAAAUGGCUCACCGGAAGCUUUAGCCUCGUCAGCCACUUCACUCUGUUUAUGCAUAAGGAUGCUGUUCUUCUCGCCUCCCAGGUCUGUGUGUAUACUCUGUUUUUUUACUUACAGCGCCACCAUCGCGCUCGGCAGUGAGAUGACAUCACCGCCGUCCACACGGAGUCUGGCGUCAGAAUCAAGGCCGGCGUCGGCCGAGGAGGGUUCGUGAAGGACAUCUACGUCAGGAGGAUGACGAUGCACACGAUGAAGUGGGCCUUCUGGAUGACCGGGAAUUACGGAUCUCACGCAGACGGGAAUUACGACCCCAACGCCCUCCCCGAAAUCACGAACAUCAACUACAGGGACAUGACGGCGGAGAACGUGUCGAUGGCGGCGAGGCUGGAGGGGAUCGCCGGAGAUCCGUUCACGCAGAUCUGCAUAUCGAAUGUGACGAUUGCGAUGGCGGCGAAGGCGAAGAAGGUGCCGUGGACUUGUACGGAUGUGGGAGGGAUCACGAGCGGGGUGAGUCCCCGGCCUUGCGAUCUGCUGCCGGAUCAAGGGGAGGGGAAAAUGGCGACGGAUAGCUUGGCGAUCGAUAUGGUUGAGCUGAAAACUUGCUCUUCCAAGAUUGGUUACAUCAUCAAGUGAACCAAAGUUAACCCUGUCAGUUUGGACGUCGGAGUAUUUCUUAAGUAACGUUACUCCGUUACAUGUACGGACUCGUGAGCUGUAGUUUCACAUAAUAGCAGUGUAUUUUGGCUUCCAAGCUUUACUCUUACCUAUUGGCUUUUAUUACUAAAAGGAUAAUGAUAUUGAGUCUUUUUACUUUUUGGUAAAACCUCCUCACUAAUUUUCAUCAACAAUCAAACCAUUUUUUAUUAAGUAUAGAGUGUAGAAAUAAUUACAACUAUACACAUUCCAAUGCUGGCAUAAUAGUUUCCCAUAUAAUUAUCCUUUCUACAAAUAUGACUAAACUCCAUUUUCUUAACAACAAAAAGAACUUAACUUUCCACACUCUCUGCAACGUUUCAUGGAUUUGAUCAACAACAGUAGAAUGUGAAUGGAACCCCCCCUGCUCUUCAGGGCACAUCAUCAAACUAACAUCACAACUGCGAGUUAUACCUCUACUCUCGAGUAUCUUCUCUUUCAAGGUAUGAGUCUCUUUUAUUAUAAGUUCUAUGUGUCAAUAUGGUACAACAAUUAUGAAAUAACUUCAUGGUCGUGUUCUGUUUUCGUUGCUCAAAACUCUACCAAUUCCUUCAUCCAAACAAACCUCUAGUUCCACACAAACAUGGCUGUAGCAGGAGAAAAUGCACCAGAUUGCAGAUUUCACUAACAAUUAUGGCAACAUCAAGUAAACAUCAAAUCAAAUAUAGUUAACUCAGCACAAAAAAAAAGAGGGUAAAAAAACGAAAAGCCUGGGGAUUUCGGGUUAUUGCAAAUAAGCAAAAUCCCUCACUCAGAGACUGUCCCAGGUAGUAGUAGUAGUAGUAGUAGUAGUUGUCUUUUUGUCUAAGUUGAAGCAAGCUAUUACAGGCAUCACAGGCGCUUGUUCUACAUCUCGACUGGAACACAACGCCAACAUACCCGACAUCACUGCAAAUACCUAUAUCAACACAACCUCCAUCGUCACGUCGCGUUUGACUCUAGUCGUUGAGUAUGCAUAUAAAGUCAAAAGUGUUGUUGACCUUCUCAUGCUAAGCAUCUCAUUGUUUGAGAUGAAAAUAAGCUGAAUCAGUUAAGCACUUCCCUCGCACGUGUUCACUGGCUAUGCAUUUACUACACGAUUUUUUCUCAAGCGUCUGGAUUGAAUCUUACAGAUUCUCUCCAGAUGAGCUCCUUUAUGUUUUCCUCGGUAAAUGAUGGCUGCUCGAAGUCGAAAACAAAAGGCCUCGGGCAAACUGGCUCCUCGUUGAUGUCGUGCAGAGGUGCCAGGUACGGGUGGCAUAAUGCCUCGUCCACUGUCAAAUACAAUCGGAUUCAUAAUCAAUUAACAAAAAACAAGGGUUUAACCUUGAUGCAACAGAGGAAUCCCAUCAUAUUACCAGUUAUGCGUCUGUUGGGAUCAAAUACUAGCAUCUUCUCUAAUAACUCAACAGCACCAGCAGAUGACUCCGGAAAUCUAGCUGCAAAAUUUUGCUUUGGGUACUGUGGAAGCUGCCCCACGUAUCUUCGAGCAUUAUCACUUCUUAGGAACCCAAGGCUAGUGUCAUCAGGGGAACCUAUGAGCUUUUCAGACAAAUGAAACAUGCAGGUAUGUUAGAAUCACAAAACCAGUCCAGAAAGCAAAUGAGAACUAUGGGACAACUUAGAUCACUAUUAAUUUAGUUUUGAGGUAUGAGGGAGGAUAAGAGCUCAUUUAUCAGAAGGGUCAAACUGGACGACUAAGAAUAAGUUACCAAGAAAAACUUAGAAGUCCUUCAAUUAGAAACACAUAAGUUAAGAUGCCCCAGAGCAAACAGUUGCCAAAUGAGCAUACCUCUGUGAUGAGUCUCAGCUGAUGAACAUAGUCUUUGCCAGGAAACAAAGGUUGACGUGUCAUGAUUUCACCAAGUAUGCAACCCACUGACCAUAUAUCAAUUGCAGCAGUGUACUCCGAACAGUUAAGGAGUAACUCCGGUGCUCGAUACCAACGAGUAACAACAUACUCGGUCAUGAAAUCUGUUUCAGAAGUUGUCCUUGCAAGCCCAAAGUCUGCAAUCUUCAGGUCGCAAUUAGAAUUCAAAAGCAAGUUGCUGGGCUUUAGGUCACGAUGCAGAACAUGUGCUGAAUGAACAUAUUUGAGUCCUCUCAGCACUUGAUACAGAAAAUACUGCAAAAAGACAGAAGCCUUCAUCAGUGAAAGUUCUGCAAGUCUUAGUGCAUCUCCAUAACAGAAGAUACAUAUAAAUCAUGCAAUCAUACUCACACGACAAUGGUCAUCUGUCAAUUGUUGGUUGGAGCGUAUUAUUUGAUGAAGAUCUGUGUCCAUCAACUCGUAAACAAUGUAAACAUCAUUGAAGUUCUCCUUUUGAGGUGGCCUAAUUAUGUCUUUAAUGGCAAUAACCUGAAAACAAUUAACAUGAAGCGUGUAAGCCACUACAAUCAUACAACAGAAAUUCAAUAAACACGGCACAUCAAAGAAUAUAAAACGUGUAUGCAUUAUUUACUUAAAUUAGGCGUUGUUUACUGAUCACUUUCAGUUUCCGCUUGCAUAAUCAUGGUGGUCGAAAUACAAGGUCGACAUGAGUGGCAUAAGAGCCUAACUGUCGAAUGAAAUGAAGAAAACGGAUGAAUUUUGACUAACCCGAAGUCCAUCAGGUAAUCAAAAUCCACAGUAGCAAGAGAAAAGAAUGCUUCUCUAUACUGAAGCAGUUGAUUUCAAAUAAGCCAGAAGAAAGUCAACCAACAGCACAAAAUGCACUUAACCAGAACUAGGAAUCUGACAUAGUUUUCAAAAACAAGUUGAACUUAAUGACAAAAUUUAAAAUCAACUCACAUUUUCAUGAUCCAUAUGCCGCAGAAGCUUAAUUUCUCGCAGAGUCCUUUUGGCAUCUAUGCGGUUGUCAAAUGCAUUGCCAAUCUUCUUUAUUGCCACUUCUUCUCGUGUCUCGGAAUUCAUUGCAGCACUGCAGAGAAAACAAAGAUAAGACUUGAAUGAGUUUAUUAUAUGUAAGGUUCUCUGGAGCGUGACCAAUAUAAUUGCAGCACCUGUAGGCUUUUGCUGAAGUCUACAGUUUAAAGUUUAAACCUCAUGCAGCAGGACCGAAAUCAAAAUAUUAGUAUGACCUUGAACAUUUAGCCUAUAAUUUCAUAGUAACUUUAGAACAAACACUUUAAAUUACGCCUGAGUAACUCUGAGAUCUCAACGACGGCACAGCCACCCAAGCAUCGCAAUCAAAAUCGAAAUUGAAUCAGAAAAAAGCAUGAACCGAAACAUCUACGGAAGCAAUCAAUACAAACCAGCUCCGAGAGAGAUGCUGAUUUGAGCAAAAAGCGAGGAAACUAAUCGAAGAGAUAAAUCAGGCAGCAGAUCUUGACUUCCAGUUGACAUUCCAUCAACUUCAGAAACCAAAGUUUGCGUCAACAGUGAGUCAAACAGAGCAGUUAGAAGAAGCGAAUUCACAGAAGAAGAGGGAGGCUCUCACCAGACGAUACCGCAAGCGCCUCGACCGACGGGGCGAAUCGGAGGGACGUACUUCCUGGAGACCUCGAAGAGAUUGCCGUACACAUUAUACUGAACGUAGCGUCCAGAGUGAGUCUGAGUUCCUCUGAUGUUGCUGCUUGUGCUGCUGCUGUUGUUGUGCUCGCCUCCUGAGCUCGUCUCCAUCGACAUAACCACCGGCUGUUUUUUUACUCAAAGCUACAAGAAAACUAAUAAGAAGACAACCAAAGAUAAAAAAGAAUACAAAGAAGAUUCAGCUGCAGCAGAAUGAGAGGCGAUUUGAGGAAGAGAGGGAGAUGGGGGGGAGUGUCGGUAUUGGAUUUUGUUUGGUUUAGGAUGAACGAUCCAGAAGGCAGAAAAUGGGGGAAAUGGAAAAGAGAGGUGAGGUGGGUGGUAAUGUGAAUUGUGAAACUUUUGAAAAUGGGGGAAAACUUGGCUUCCUCUCGUGAUCCCAAUCCUCACUUUAUUUUAUAUUUUUAUAUUUAUUUUACCAUAAAGUUUCCAUAUUUGGCCCCUUCUCUUCUCUGUCACCUUUUUUUCUUGGUUUAUUUGUUUUAAAUGAUGGUCAAACACAUGGACUCCAUUGGCGCCAAAUGGAAUGCCGCGUUGCUUUUCUUAAACACAAAAUUAAGGUUGGUUGAUUAUUUGAUUAUGGAUUAGAAAUAAAAAUAUGGAUUAAGACUAGGAGAUAGGGUAUUGGACAAUAUAGCUGUUUUAUAGUUCAAUUUUUAUUCGUAAGAUUGAGAUUUGGAGUGUUCGAAAUGUAACUCAACUUAACCCCGCCAUUUGUAGAGCAUGGUGAAACUAUAUUGAUAUCAAGUCAAUUCCAGGUCUAUGAGCCUGUGGUAGAAAAUCAUCCACAUUUUGUAUAUUUGAAAAAUUAAUUAAUUACAACUGUGUCAGUGUCAAAUUAGAAUAUUACAGGGUAUUGCAUAAUUCACAUUUAACCCCCCACCCAACUAACUUUCUAAGGUUGACUAUUGACUGUUGACGUAGAAAAAUAGAUGAAGGGUCCUUUUGGUUAUGGGAGAGGAGGCUGGCUGCGCAACUUGGGCAAAUUUUCGGAACAAAAUCACUAGGCGACCUCGACGACUAAGAAUGUCAUUCUCAGUUUUAGAACAAUAUGCAAGCUCGAAGACCCAGAGCAAGUCAGUCAGGUCAAUCUUCGUCUCUUCCACCUAGGUUGAUAGAGAUUGAGCAACUAUAUUCUACGAUGAAACGCGGUUCGGGACUUGGUAAAAUGAUUGGUUGGAUAUGAUUUUUUGUUUCAGAUUUGAUCUCACCAAACCAAAAUGUGAAAGGGGGUCUGAGAUUCAAAAACUUUAAACUGUUGCAUCUGGCGCUUUUAGUCAAGCAGGGAUGGAGGAUGUUGAAUGAUGAAAACAUGUGUUGCGUGAGAAUGAUGAAAGUGUUGUACUUCCCUUCCUCGAGGCAAAGAAAGGAAGGAAUGUGUUAUGGAUUUGGUCGAGUAUGGACGAAGCAAGGGAGGUUUUGAAGCUUGGUGUGAUCAAGAACUUGGGAAAUGGAAGAAGUAUCAACAUCAUGAACGAUCCAUGGGUCCCUACUGUCCCAGAGUUUAAGCUUAGUGCGAAACAAAGAGAUCAUGAGCUUGCCUAUCAAUGGAUGAGCGACAACGACAGAGAGUGGGACUUUGACACAGUUUCGGCUUACAUCUAUCCACUAGAGGCUAUGGCUAUCCUAUGAAUCCCGAUGAGUGAUCCUUCACAACCUGAUCGAUGAAUUUGGGCCCCGAACCCUAAGUGAUCUUUCAUGGUGUGGUCUUCAUAUCAUACCCUGCGGGCUGUCAGGGAAAGCUCGAAUCACUCAUCUAACCCUGCUCUCCUCAACAAGGACCUUUGGAAGUGGCUUUGGAAGUUUUCUCCCCCCCCCCCCUAAAUACAUUUUUUAGUCUGGCACCUAAUGAACAAUGUGUUGCCUACCAAAAAGAACCUUUUUCGAAGGAUGUGUGGCCCAUCCCCUACCUUUCAGGUGUGUGACCAACACAUUGAGGACACAACCCAAUGUUUCUUCAACUAUAAUUAUGUUAAGCAAGUUACGCCUCUUUCAUGAGCGGCCUCGUCUUGCCCGAUAAUGAUAUGGACAUCCCGAGUUGGUUUGAUCACAGUUCAAUGGGGACUCAUGAGUUCCAUCGGGGAUAACCAGGUUUCCACUGACACCCUAAUAUCGUCCCACCGCCUACAUACUUCCAACAUGAAAUCUCCUGUGAUGGUUCUUUCACAGUCGAGGAUCCUGUGGCGGCUUAUGGUGUCAUUGUUAAGGACAACCAUUGGAAUAUUAGGGAUGGUUUUGCCGGCCAGUUCUCCUGUUCAUCUCCGAUUAUGGCAGAAGGUAUGGCGCUUCUUAACGCGGUGGAGGUUGCUAAGGACUCGGGUCUCCGUACUAUCAUUAAAUCAGACUGUUUGAUCCUCAUUCAGGCUAUAUCGACGCGCGAAGACGCAUGGCCCUGGCAAUGCUAUGCAUGGUUAGAACGAAUCAAAACUCUCGUUUCUCAGUCGGAUUUAAUUGUGUUUUCUUUUGUUCCCCGACAGCUAAAUGUACUUGCGGAUUGGAUCGCUAGGUCCAGUCGUGUUGGUUCUUUAGUUCCGGAAUGAAUUCAGUCGUGUUGCCUCUUUUUAUGAUGAAUAUAAUACAAAUUCGUUUCAAACAUUAAAAAAAACAACUCGUUAAGGUACAUAUGAGCAAUGAUUCAUCACUCACAAGUAGAUUACCAGCUUGGAUCUUGGCACCGACUGACACCAACUGAUAAUAAGCCUGUUAUAUAUGAUGAAGUUAAUUUUCAGAACACAGUACAACACCGAGUAUACAACCCUUUUCAAUGAGCAAUAACAAAUCACUAUACUCGCGCCACCUCACACAACACAUUUGACAUAGGAGAGACAUCUCAAACCUAAGACUACUGUAUACAGAAUGAUCAGUCAUAAACUCCUCAUCAGUUGGGCAUCAUCUAACGAGUUCAUCCUCUCUGCGGCUUCCCGUCACAACAUUACCAUCAGUACAAGACAACCUUAGAUUACAAAGCAAAGCAUCACGCCCGCUAAGAACUAUCUUGAAGAAGAUAUCCACUUGUUUCCCUACCAGAUCCAGGCCUUCGGAUAGCUUCACCGCUCCCCCCUGCAGAUCGGUGAAGCAACUCUUCAACCCUUCCUCCUCGGUGGCUUCUACCCCAUCUUGAAUCGCAGGAUACAGUUUCUUUACGAUAGAAUCUACAGAUUCCAGCUCGUUCAGAGCUGUAGAUUUCUUCCCGGAAGAGAAUAUCUCUCUGAUUUCAACAUUCACUCUCAUCUGCAAAUCGGAAAAGGCCUGCGCCCACAAGAACGUAUCCGGAACAUUCAAAUCGACUAAAUCGUUCGAGGAACCGGAAAAAGCUGAAGCAAAUACGCUACAGACAAAUAUUGUCUCGGCCUUGACACCGUACAUGGCACGCAUUAGGACUUUCUCUUUGGCAGAAUUCUUAACCUUGGGAAGAUCCAACGACUCCACAAGACUGUCUAAGAUGGGACGGCAGUUCUGAACUCUAGGAUUCCUCGAACUAAUGUGGUGUCUCCAGUUGUCGAGGGAAGAUCGCGCCUUUAUAUACCGCUCAGGUGUCCCGGAUUCCAAAUUAUGCAGGACACACUGGAGUAAGAGAUGGCCUUGGUUGAGCCUGGUGAUCUCGGAGCUGAAAGCGAUACAAAUGUCGAGUAGUCUUACACUGAUGUCCAGAUAGACAUCGAUCCACUUCUGAUCCCAGUCGGUGACAGGAAGCUCGAGACUUGUAAUGAGCGUCUUUAUGUCAUUGUGAGUCUCGCAGAGAGAAUCCAUGGCUAACUUCAUCCACGGAAGACUCAAGACGUCGCCUUUGCCUUUGGGAAGGAGUUUACUCAACCGCUCGGCCAAUGUUUCCUCGAAGGUACUUAAUACGGAGAGAAGGCUUGGAGACAUCUGAGAGGCUUUGGGUAAUAUCAUCCGGAAAGGAUUUCCAAAUGGGAAAAACGGUCGGUUUGGUUCCUGUGGUUGGCUCAUAUUUUCCUAUGCUCACUGCAAAAAAUCCAAAAGAAGAACAGAAACCUGUUAAUCUCAUGUCAAUUAAAAUAAGAGAAUCGAAGAAACAAACAUACAAAUCUGAUUAACCUUAGUAAUCAUAUUGUGAACACACAUGAUCAAGAAGCAAGAUUUCAUCUGAUUUAACAACUGUCCUUGAGACACAGUAAAUGGGAAGAUUUCUUUUCUCACUGUCAUCACGGAUCUCUUGCAUCAACCAUCAACCAUAUUUAAAAGCUCAUAAUCAAAUUUACUUCAAACUUCAAGCUGAUAAUAUCAAAAUCGAACCAAAAUAAACCAAACCGCAGGACCAGAAACAAACGAAUCGUAAUAUGACAUGACGAAGAAAUGAAAAACGAAAUUCAAAUCAGCCAGCAUCAAGAAACCAACCAAUAGAAAGCAGAUGGGCAGCUGGUCAACUGACAGCACAAAGACCACCCUCAAGAUCCAAGCGAGAAAAGGCAGAGAGAGAGAGAGAGAGAGAGAGAGAAGUAGGGAAAAAAUCUGGAAAUGGAAACCGUACCUGAAAGAGUACUGAGAGCUGGCAGAGGAGCAGGAAAUUGCCGGCGAAUUUGUUUCUUUGUUAUGGUGAUAAAAAGCUCUCAAAGAAGGCGUACACGAAAGUUGCUUCCAGAAUCCCUUUUCCCCUAAUUUAUGCUUCCGGUGGAGCAUUCAAAGCCCACGUGGAAAUAUACCAUUGGCGGAUGAAACAAUAUCCUAUCGAGUCUGGAUUAUUGAAUCAACGGCUGAGAUGCGUUGGAUAUGUCCCUCUCUCCUCCUCUAGAAAGUAAUAAUUAGAGGAAAAUACUUGGUGUCGGCCCAGUUCACACACAUUACAAGGUUGUGUGAAAGCCAAUUUUGUUCUAUUUCUUGUAUAAAAUAGUGAUGUAUAUAUUAGCUGGCUGGCUGGCUUUGGUCAACUUCAGUAUUUAAUAAUUCAUAAAUUUAUGAAGAUUAAUUUUCUGUUUCUUUAUUCAUUUUAAAUUCAAUUAAUAUGAGAUAUUUUAAAUUUAAGCAAAAAUGCAAGAUAUUAAUAAUUCAUAAAUGUCUCCUUAAUAUUUAUUUAAAGAUUAAAUUACGUCUAAUCUCGCUCAUCAUCCACCAUCAAUAAUUGUAAACUUAAAUCUCAGAUUGAGGAAAGGUUUUUCACACAUGGGAAAUUUCCUCAUGGCGGUAACAGAACAAUAAAGAAAGUUGAACAAACCAAAAUCAGUAACCUAGCAUACAGGGAUGUUUUUCUCAAACCACCUAAAAUAUUUAUACAAAAUCAAUCAGAAAAUGUGAAAUUAUUAGGAAAUCUCAUGAAAAGAAGUAAUGGAGUAGAGAUAUCACCCUUCUUCUUCUUCUUCUUCUUCUUCUUCAAGGAUUAAGCUUCUAUACGAUUGCAGCGAAAAGACCUGCGAUGGAAUGAAGCAGAGGACGAUAGACUCACAAGGCAGUCUACGGAAGUAAGGGGGUUUUAUUCGAUUAGCCAACACUUACCCCAAUUGAGUGAAUAGUGUGAUCACGGACAUCAAUACAACCAACCACAUGAUGCCGGUGAAGGGAAACGACGGCAACUGCUGCCCAAUAAGCUGUGAGCGGUAGUUGGUUAUGGAGGAGAAAGAUCGAGAUCCAUCAUGUAGAUUGGAGAGACAAUGACUCCCAUAAGUCACAUAAAAGGCUAGAUAACAGAGGGGAAUAACCGUGGAUGGUAAAGAGACUGACGCGACCCUUACAAUUGGAGACAUGGGAAUGCCAUUUGGGGGAGCCCGUGACUGAGCCCAUCUCACUAGUCACAUCCAAAUCCACCAAACCUCUCUAGUAGAGCCACACAGGCAGGCUCACAACAUCCCCAACCAUCGUCCACUUCUUUCAUUUACUCUCCUCUUCCUUCUCCGAAGUCGCCGUCAAAUUCUUCUCUGUCUCCAUUGCCUUCCUAGCCCUUUCAACCCUUUCCAAAACCCCACUCACCAUCCUAUCAAACGCGUCCUCCAACGUCUCCAAUCUCGACUGCGGAUCAGCAUACACCACCAUCGGAAUCAGCAGGAUCGCCUCCUCUCUCAUCUUCGCAACCUUCUACUUCGGAAUCCUCAAGGACAACCGAAAUUCGCCUCCAACUAAUUCUGAAAUUCGCCGGAGUUAGUCGAGGACAACCUACAUUAGACCAGUGUACAAGAUGGUUUAUCGAGUACAACCGAAAUUCGUCUCCGACUAAUUCCGAUGAUGAUGUUAUAAUUUUAGUUAUGCUCAAUUAUUUGUGAAUAGAGUUUAUUAUUUUUUAAUGAGUCUCCAAAUCAAAAUUGUGAGAAAAAAUGUAAUAGGAAUCUAUUUAUUCCAAUACAUUCAUGGUCCAGACAUAGAAAUUAGGAAUUAAUACAUGUGUAAUUUCCUUUUUUUUUAUUUCUUUAUUUUGUCUUCUUUACUUAUUCGUUACUAACUACUUUUAACUAUGAUAAACAAUAAUAUAAUAGACCAUAACAUGGGUAUAAUAUAAGAAAAGUUAUAUGAGCACUAUCUUACACAAUCGUGAGUGAAAAGUCCAUUGUAAGUUAUCGUUGGCUUAAUUUAACCAAUAAUAAUUAGAUAAACGGUAAUUGGCGUGAAAAGUAUGAAGGAUAGGAUGAUGACAUAAUCCAUCAUUAUUUUGUCAUUAGACUACCAUGAUGGCAUAAAUUGUAAUUAUUUUGCCAUUAAACUACCAUGAUGGCAUAAACCGUAAUUAUUUUAUCAUUAGACUACCAUGAUGGCAAUAAUCCGUAAUUAUUCGUCAUUAGACCAGGAUGAUGACAUAAAUCAUAAUUAUUUAUCAUUAGACUAGGAUGAUGGCAUAAAUCAUAAUUAUUAUUGGCUUAACUUAGNNNNNNNNNNNNNNNNNNNNNNNNNAUAUAUGACAAGGAUAGAAUGAUAGCAUUAACCGUAAUUAUUUGUCAAUCAAAUUUCUCUCUUUAUUUUCACAUAUUAUAUAUAUAUCCUUUUAUUUUUCUUUAUUUCACUAAAAAUAUAUUUUAGUGUAAAUAGUUUCUGAUAGUUGAAAUUAAUAACGAAUCUCAGAGACAUAUACAUAAAAAUUGAGAUGGAUAAAAAUUCAAUUUGUACUUAAAAUACUUUAAAAGUCACGAUAUUAAUUAAAAUUUAGAAUUUUCCACAACACAUGAUAAUUCAUAUGAAUGUAUUAUUAAACUUUUAUACUUAAGUUCAAAUUAAAUUACUUUGAUGGUAAAAUUAUUUAUCAAUUGAUUUAGAAAUCUUGAAUUUAAAUCCAAUACAACAAAGAUACGGAAGAAUUAAGGCAGAGCAAGGGUUACAGUACAACAAAGUGACAAAAUUAUACCCUCCAUUUCUACACGCCACAGCAGCCAAUUGGCAGAGACUUCUCCAUCGAACACGCCAUAAUAAAGUUUUGCGAUCGAUGUCAAAGUGUUACUUAAUGAAAACAAAACCCCACAAGGGCACAAAUGGCAGAUGCAUGCACAAUUACUGCUGAAAUCAAUGUCCACAGACCCCAUUUCCAGUCAUUUCUCUCGCAACCAUAUCUCAGUUGUCCACUUGUCCUAUGAUCCUAAAGAUAAGAAAUUAAAAAGGAAAGUAGUAGCUGGACGCCUGGUUUUGCCACUGGGUCCGUUUCUGGAUCGACAGACCCAGUUUCGAGUUUGUGUGGGAUGAUGUUUCAGACUGUUAAUGUUUCCUGUCAUAGCAGCUGUUUUAAUUUUUGAAUUGUGGAUCAGUGUCGACUCGCGCAGGCUGACUGAGGCUGUUAGGGGUGAGUAUUGAGCCGGGUCACCUGCUUAACCAAUUCAAACCUACCCACCAUAACCCAAUCUGAAAAGCAUCACCUAUCCGGUCCAUUUCAAUUUUACUUGAUUGUAACCCGAUCCGAAGUUACGAGAUUACAUAUUCGACACAAUAAAUAGGGUGGCGUGAAGAACAUAAUCACUCACUCAUAAUUAUAACUGGACGAAACUGUGACCUGUCAAGUAGUCAAGUUUCUGAUGGGGUUUGGCGCCGAUGGUGAUGGGUUGGUGGUUUACAGCCCAUGCCCAUUACGUCCGGCUAAUGAAAACAACAUUUGCAGAAGAAAACACAACAAAGAAUGAAAGGCUGUAAAGCAUGCGCAGCAGCAAGAUGAUCCAGAAAGAGAAUUAUGGAUUAUCGUAUAUCUAUCUCUAUGAGAAAUAACAAUCAGAAUAAUAAUAAUAAUAAUAAAUGAAUGGAUUUCGUACAAAUUUUUUACAGCUGCCUUUCUUCAAAUUAUACAAAUGCCAUCAUCAUCUUCUUCUUCUUCAUUCAUCCCCAGUCUACGCAAAACCAGAAAAGUGUAAUGGGAAUUUCCUGUUUAUUGUUUUGUUUACUAGAGAGGUAUAAGAGUUAGUCAGUCACCUAGGCAUGCGAUGGAACAGCGUACGUGUUAUAUCAUACAUCACCAUGAAUCAUCAUCAUCUCCAUCUGCUUGCUUCCUGCUCACGGUUCCUACUGCUGCUACCUUCUUCUUCACUUUUAUCAGAAAUCACCACCGCUUCACUGAGUUUUGCAGAUUCCGCUGCUUCUCUUGCGAUACGUCUUCCCUGGGAAAACGAAAGCUAAUGAGCAAAUCAUUCAUUAGCAGAAACAUAAUGCCAGAUGAAAGGGUGUUUGUUUUGCAUACAUCUUGAAAUAGUACAUCAUCAGCUUCAAGCAUGUGAAUCACGUGGCCCAUUUUCGGCCUUUUUGUCGCGUCGGGAUCCACGCAUCGGAGAGCCACCAAGAGCACCCGCUUCAGGGCCUUUGACGACGGCAAUUCAAGCAGCUUUGGAUCGACUACUUCUUCCGAUUUCCGAUUUCCAACCAUUGUUUUUAGCCAUUCCACCAAAUGCACCUAUUGGUUUGAGACAUUGCUGAUUUUGUGAGUACCUGGGCUGGUUUAUUCGAUACGUAGAAAUGAUGAUGAGUUUACGCUCAGAAACACUGACCUCUCCCUGUGGACGAUUGUAAUCGACGGGGCUUCUCCCAGUGAUUAUCUCCAUGACAAGUAUCCCGAAGCUAUAAACAUCGCUUUUCUCGUUCAGCAUUCCGGUGCAAGCAUAUUCUGGUGCUACGUAACUGCAGAUACAUCAGCAUGUAAGUACUUCGAAAAAACACUCUCUAGAGUUUCUAAUAUUGACAUGGAAUUUAAACACAUACUGACCCGAAAGUUCCCAUGACACGAGUAGUGACAUAGCUCCGCUCGGAGCAGAGGAGCUUUGCGAGCCCGAAAUCAGAAACUUUCGGAAGCCAAUUGCGAUCGAUGAGUAUAUUGCUCGAUUUAAUGUCUCGAUGGACAACUUUCGGUUCAAGACCUUCGUGGAGAUAAGCCAAUCUGCAAGACGAAAAAUCGUACAUGAGGAACAGUCGACACCGAAGUAUACACACAUGUACUUAUAGUAACUUGGGAAAAUCGUUAAGCAUAUUACGCUUUUGCCAUCCCGAGUAUGACAUUCAUACGGACAUCCCACGAUAGAGGGCUCGCCACUCCGACAUCACCAUGAAGCCAUUGAUCCAGAUUACCAUUGUCAACGUAUUCAUAAACAAGCAUCCUGCCAGACACAAUAACAAAGAGGAUUAUAACUAGUUAUUUAAGUUCAUAACAUCAUAAGAACACUUAACAGAGUUUUAGGGAUGAUUGAUUUUCAGCUCUAACCUGUAUUCACCUUCAACACAGUAUCCUAGCAAUCUCACAAGAUUCUUAUGCCGGACCCGUCCGAUCGCCUCUACCUCCACUUUGAACUCUUUCUCAGCUUGGCCCCUGAUCAUCAUCCAUGCAUUAUCACAAAGUCAGCCAAUUAUUACAAAGUCAGCCCAUAAGAACACUGACAGCAAUAACUAAAAAAUUCAUGGCCAGGAAGUUAAGGGGAAUCCACAGAGCUAAGCAACUUUGACAACUCAUAUCCUUUGCAGAAACACGACAAGUACAAAGAACAAAGAAGAAGAAGAACUAAACCCAAAAUGAUCAAUUUGACUUAUUCACAAGUCCUGAUUUUUAUCGAUAUAACAGAGGAAGCCAAGUAUAUUUUCAUUUCCUGAGUGAAUUCAUCAAGCUAAUUUCACCAAAUAAGAUUACACAAAUCCAAUUUCUGCUUUGCACAAAAACCCUUAAACCUCUAAGGUUAAUACUUAAUUACCUGUUAUUGAGCAAGUUCUUGACGGCAACUUUAGUUCCAUCUACCAGGACGCCACGAUAGACAAUCCCAUACCCGCCUUCCCCAAUCACAUUCUCCUCGCAGAGUCCAUCAGUGGCAAUCUCAAGCUCCCUCAGAGUGUACCACCGUCCCCAGCCUAGAUGAGAAACCUCCGGCCCGACGCAGCCGCUGCCGAACGACGCCGUCUCACAGCCGCUGGCGGUGGCUCUGCUCUCCCCGCUCGAAGCGCGGUCGGAGAACACGACGCGGUGCUCGAUCUUGCCGAUCUCCACCUGAAUCUCGGGUAUCGGCGGCGCGUGAUGGUGGUGGUGGUGGUCGCGGGAUGGGAAGUGGACGAUCUCCUGAAUUUCUUUAGAGACCGGCGGGGUGGGGUCGGCUAAUUUGGCCGAUUUCCGGAUUUUCCGGCGAGAAGUUAGGCAGAGUGAGAGG